rnacentral:rRNA from 1 species
ACGUCUAAUACUGGAUAUGAUCACUGGUCGCAUGGCCUGGUGGUGGAAAGAUUUUUUGGUUGGGGAUGGACUCGCGGCCUAUCAGCUUGUUGGUGAGGUAAUGGCUCACCAAGGCGACGACGGGUAGCCGGCCUGAGAGGGUGACCGGCCACACUGGGACUGAGACACGGCCCAGACUCCUACGGGAGGCAGCAGUGGGGAAUAUUGCACAAUGGGCGAAAGCCUGAUGCAGCAACGCCGCGUGAGGGAUGACGGCCUUCGGGUUGUAAACCUCUUUUAGUAGGGAAGAAGGGAGCUUCGGUUCUUGACGGUACCUGCAGAAAAAGCACCGGCUAACUACGUGCCAGCAGCCGCGGUAAUACGUAGGGUGCAAGCGUUGUCCGGAAUUAUUGGGCGUAAAGAGCUCGUAGGCGGUUUGUCGCGUCUGCUGUGAAAUCCCGAGGCUCAACCUCGGGCUUGCAGUGGGUACGGGCAGACUAGAGUGCGGUAGGGGAGAUUGGAAUUCCUGGUGUAGCGGUGGAAUGCGCAGAUAUCAGGAGGAACACCGAUGGCGAAGGCAGAUCUCUGGGCCGUAACUGACGCUGAGGAGCGAAAGCAUGGGGAGCGAACAGGAUUAGAUACCCUGGUAGUCCAUGCCGUAAACGUUGGGCGCUAGAUGUAGGGACCUUUCCACGGUUUCUGUGUCGUAGCUAACGCAUUAAGCGCCCCGCCUGGG